rnacentral:misc_RNA from 1 species
GAUGAAGAACGUAGCGAAAUGCGAUAAGUAAUGUGAAUUGCAGAAUUCAGUGAAUCAUCGAAUCUUUGAACGCACAUUGCGCCCGCCAGUAUUCUGGCGGGCAUGCCUGUCCGAGCGUCAUUUCAACCAUCAAGCCCCGGGCUUGUGUUGGGGACCUGCGUCCGACGCAGGCCCUGAAAACCAGUGGCGGGCUCGCUGUCCACACCGAGCGUACUAACUAACCUCGCUAUGGAGUGGCGCGGGCGCCUGCCGUAAAACCCCCAAUUUUUACAAGGUUGACCUCGGAUCAGGUAGGAAUACCCGCUGAACUUAAGCAUAUCAAUAAGCGGAGGA